GUGCCAGCCGCCGCGGUAAUACGUAGGGGGCAAGCGUUGUCCGGAAUCAUUGGGCGUAAAGAGCGUGUAGGCGGCCCGGUAAGUCCGCUGUGAAAGUCAAAGGCUCAACCUUUGAAUGUCAGCGGAUACUGCCGGGCUAGAGUCCGGAAGAGGCGAGUGGAAUUCCUGGUGUAGCGGUGGAAUGCGCAGAUAUCAGGAGGAACACCAACGGCGAAGGCAGCUCGCUAGGACGGUACUGACGCUGAGACGCGAAAGCGUGGGGAGCAAACAGGAUUAGAUACCCCUGUAGUCC
rnacentral:rRNA from 1 species